rnacentral:lncRNA from 10 species
CAGGAGGGUUCCAGUCCCCAAGGCUCUUUGACCAGGAGAGACGAUUGUCACCCUCCAGGCAGCCCUCCAGGGCUCCUUCAUUUUCCACAACUGCCUGAGGGCAGAGGGCUCCCCACCGCACUCCUAGAUGAAGGACCCCAUGUGUCCAGUGGGUCCCACAGCAACCAUCAGUGAUCGCACUUUAGGUCUGAGUUGGUGAGACCUCCUCCUGUGGGGACCAAGCUUAGGGCACAGACUUGGACCAAGAAUUUCACCCUCCACCCCACCCACAGGGGCUCUGUCCCAGUGGCUCUUCCAGGACCAGACCCUGCCUCAUUGAAUUCCAGAACUCAAGGAAGAUUUGGAAUCUAGGGUAGAGAGGCCUCAGCGGUCAAAGCUCAAGUCCAGCAUGGCAAAGGGUAGGGCUGAGUGCACGGCCCGGGUCACAUCUGGGUCUCUGGGCCAGUCACCGCCUCUCUGACUCUACACAUCUCACCUGUGGAAUGGCUACAUUUGGGGACAGCACCCAUCGCCACAGAGUUUCUGUGAGGACAAAGGAGAGGAUGGUCCACGCCGUCAGUGCAGAACAUGCACCCGCUACCCUUGCCCCACCAGGAAUCCCCUUCUGGCAGAGUCAAUGAGGAGAGGAAGAUGGUCACAGAAUCCAUGGAAAGAAAGAAAACAAAAUGACAAUGGAACAUCAUCUAUUUCCUGUCCAUCUGAAAGGAAAGCCUAAGGAAGCCUAUUGGGUUCCAUCACCCUGAGGGCCCCGAGGAUGGCAUCACACAGUGCAAUACCCAAUGGCAGGGGCGGUGCUCCAUCCCUGCAGACGUCAUCGAGAGCACACCUGGGGUCGUCUAGGGUCAUGGACCUGGCCACAGAGCAGAAACUGGGUCAACAGGAGUGCACACACGCACACAGGUGCACACUCACACACUGGAAUAAAACGAAUUUCGUAGCAAGUGGUCACGUGCGCGUGGGAGCGCGCGCACACACACACACACACACACACACACCACACUUGUUGCUGAUCUGCUGACUUAUCUCACUGCCAUGAAACAGCAGCUAAGCCUGUAAUUGCUCUGCCUUUCCUUGGAUUUUUCCUUUAGUUUCUCUGACUGCUGGGUUACUGGCCUGUGUUUAGCUUCAUGAACAUGGGUUUCACUUUAUUUUUAUGGGGUUCCAGCUCUUGCUCAUGGAAUCCCUCCCUGCCUGUUCUGCAGUCUUCCCUUGUUUACUGCCUGUGGACUUCAAGUAUCAGACACAGAGAAAGAUUUGUAGAUACUGUUUACUCAGCCCCCACAAUUUCCAUAGCAGGUCUCUUAAUUCCCAUCACCUCCAGGGAGGGUCAUUGCUGGGAUCCUAGGAAUCAAGUGCCUUGUCUUGAUGGCCACAGUGGUAACCAUAAUAGUCAGGUUUUCCCUCUGUGCAAUUCUGGAACAUAAAAAUCUUCUCUGGUAACAAGACUACAGAAAGCAAUGAAAGCAACACUAAACUGGGAGUUUGCUGGCCUGUGUUUCUAAGAAAUUUAAUGUUUUUACAUAAAUAAUGAAGAAGAAACGACUUUUCUAAAGUUCCUGUCAUUUAUGCCAUGGAUUGGACUCUUCUGUGAAAGCAGUUUUAUUGAUGGAUGUGGAUAAUUAGCUUAACUUCAAGUAAAAGAUUAGAGAGCAAAUUGUAAACAUAACUGUGCUUUUUUACACUCAAAUGACAUUAAUCAGACAGUUUUGGAUCUCUAGAAAUAUAUAUUAGAACAUGUAAGUUCUAUAUUGAAAUACGCAAGUUUGGAAUCCUUCAGGUGGCUUAUUUUUCAUCAACUAGAAAUAAUACUAAAAUUGCAAAGAUUUAUUAUGAUUUAUAUUAUUUGUCCUAAUGGAAAAAGGAAUUCAAAUAUGUUUAUUAAAGUAUAAUAUACACAGGAAUCCUAUUAUUCUACUACUCAGUGAUUUAUCACAAAGAGGACACAUGCUUGGAGCUACCACACAGUCCAAGAAAAUGAAAUAAAAAUAACAAUCUGGAAAUCCCUCUCCUGAAGGUCUGCUCCCUAACCACUGCCCACCUGUCUUGUCAAAGCAAAGAGUCACCUGGUUUUUAGCAGCCCCAAUUAGUGUUGUCUGUUUCAUAAAUGGAAGCAUGGAGGGCCAUUCAGUAGGAAUGGUUUUGUGUGUGGCUUCUUUGGCCCAGCAUUACAUUUGUGACACUCCUUCAAGUGGUUUCAUGAAGCAGUUCAUUUUUUUUUUUUUUUUUUGAGAUGGAGUUUCGCUCUGUCGGCCAGGCUGGAGUGCAGUGAUGCGAUCUCGGCUCACUGCAAGCUCUGCCUCCCAGGUUCACACCAUUCUCCUGCCUCAGCCUCCCGAGUAGCUGGGACUUACAGGCGCUUGCCACCAUGCC